rnacentral:rRNA from 1 species
GGGUUGUGAGGUUAAGCGACUAAGCGUACACGGUGGAUGCCCUGGCAGUCAGAGGCGAUGAAGGACGUGCUAAUCUGCGAAAAGCGUCGGUAAGGUGAUAUGAACCGUUAUAACCGGCGAUGUCCGAAUGGGGAAACCCAGUGCAAUUCGUUGCACUAUCGUUAACUGAAUACAUAGGUUAACGAGGCGAACCGGGGGAACUGAAACAUCUAAGUACCCCGAGGAAAAGAAAUCAACCGAGAUUCCCCCAGUAGCGGCGAGCGAACGGGGAGCAGCCCAGAGUCUGAAUCAGCUUGUGUGUUAGUGGAACGGUCUGGAAAGUCCGACGGUACAGGGUGAUAGUCCCGUACACCAAAAUGCACAGGCUGUGAACUCGAAGAGUAGGGCGGGACACGUGGUAUCCUGUCUGAAUAUGGGGGGACCAUCCUCCAAGGCUAAAUACUCCUGACUGACCGAUAGUGAACCAGUACCGUGAGGGAAAGGCGAAAAGAACCCCGGCGAGGGGAGUGAAAAAGAACCUGAAACCGUGUACGUACAAGCAGUGGGAGCACCUUCGGGUGUGACUGCGUACCUUUUGUAUAAUGGGUCAGCGACUUAUAUUCUGUAGCAAGGUUAACCGUAUAGGGGAGCCGCAGGGAAACCGAGUCUUAACUGGGCGUUAAGUUGCAGGGUAUAGACCCGAAACCCGGUGAUCUAGCCAUGGGCAGGUUGAAGGUUGGGUAACACUAACUGGAGGACCGAACCGACUAAUGUUGAAAAAUUAGCGGAUGACUUGUGGCUGGGGGUGAAAGGCCAAUCAAACCGGGAGAUAGCUGGUUCUCCCCGAAAGCUAUUUAGGUAGCGCCUCGUGAACUCAUCUUCGGGGGUAGAGCACUGUUUCGGCUAGGGGGUCAUCCCGACUUACCAACCCGAUGCAAACUACGAAUACCGAAGAAUGUUAUCACGGGAGACACACGGCGGGUGCUAACGUCCGUCGUGAAGAGGGAAACAACCCAGACCGCCAGCUAAGGUCCCAAAGUCAUGGUUAAGUGGGAAACGAUGUGGGAAGGCACAGACAGCCAGGAUGUUGGCUUAGAAGCAGCCAUCAUUUAAAGAAAGCGUAAUAGCUCACUGGUCGAGUCGGCCUGCGCGGAAGAUGUAACGGGGCUAAACCAUGCACCGAAGCUGCGGCAGCGACACUAUGUGUUGUUGGGUAGGGGAGCGUUCUGUAAGCCUGCGAAGGUGACCUGUGAGGGUUGCUGGAGGUAUCAGAAGUGCGAAUGCUGACAUAAGUAACGAUAAAGCGGGUGAAAAGCCCGCUCGCCGGAAGACCAAGGGUUCCUGUCCAACGUUAAUCGGGGCAGGGUGAGUCGACCCCUAAGGCGAGGCCGAAAGGCGUAGUCGAUGGGAAACAGGUUAAUAUUCCUGUACUUGGUGUUACUGCGAAGGGGGGACGGAGAAGGCUAUGUUAGCCGGGCGACGGUUGUCCCGGUUUAAGCAUGUAGGCUGAUUGUCCAGGCAAAUCCGGAUAAUCAAGGCUGAGGUGUGAUGACGAGGCACUACGGUGCUGAAGUAACAAAUGCCCUGCUUCCAGGAAAAGCCUCUAAGCAUCAGGUAACAUCAAAUCGUACCCCAAACCGACACAGGUGGUCAGGUAGAGAAUACCAAGGCGCUUGAGAGAACUCGGGUGAAGGAACUAGGCAAAAUGGUGCCGUAACUUCGGGAGAAGGCACGCUGGUGUGUAGGUGAAGUCCCUGCGGAUGGAGCUGAGACCAGUCGAAGAUACCAGCUGGCUGCAACUGUUUAUUAAAAACACAGCACUGUGCAAACACGAAAGUGGACGUAUACGGUGUGACGCCUGCCCGGUGCCGGAAGGUUAAUUGAUGGGGUUAUCCGUAAGGAGAAGCUCUUGAUCGAAGCCCCGGUAAACGGCGGCCGUAACUAUAACGGUCCUAAGGUAGCGAAAUUCCUUGUCGGGUAAGUUCCGACCUGCACGAAUGGCGUAAUGAUGGCCAGGCUGUCUCCACCCGAGACUCAGUGAAAUUGAACUCGCUGUGAAGAUGCAGUGUACCCGCGGCAAGACGGAAAGACCCCGUGAACCUUUACUAUAGCUUGACACUGAACAUUGAGCCUUGAUGUGUAGGAUAGGUGGGAGGCUUUGAAGCGUGGACGCCAGUCUGCGUGGAGCCAACCUUGAAAUACCACCCUUUAAUGUUUGAUGUUCUAACGUUGGCCCCU